GGGGAUCAUGUAAAAGAAGGCGCUCUCUUAGUGGAAGCAGGUGAAUUGGAAUGUACUAAAGCAAAUGAAGACAGAAUUACCAGCAAAUGACCAGUUUGUAGAGAUCAUUUUGGAGCUGCUCACAAUCCGUUUUGGAUUUCACUACCCAGAAGAGUUUGGUAUCAUCUGCAAAUUUGGCCACAUCGCUGCUUACCCCUGCUUUGACCAGAAAGCAAAGCCAUUGAUGACAGACGGCGAACAAUGAUUCUAGGCAUUGUUGCUUUUCAAUCGAUACUGUCCUACUGGUGGAACUUGAGACACUUUCUUAACUGAAUGGCAUCUGCUUCUACAAUGAGAACAAUGGGCUGAAUAUACAAUUGCUCAUCUGUGAGAACUACAGAAACAAUCCCAAAGAUGCAGAACCUUGUUGUAUGACCAGCUUAGACUUUGAGCAGAAAGUUUCUAAAAAAUGAGCAUUGGCAGUCAUGCCUCAAGAAGAAAUAAGUUGCAAAUGUAAACAAGAAGGUGUACAAUUUUCCUUGGAUCAUGCGACACCCACUUUCUCUGCAGUCCAGCCAGGUUACUUGUGCUUGGUGAAGGAAAACCAACUGGUGAUGCAGUGAAACCGUAGCUUGCCUUCUCUCUUAAAGCAAGUCGGAAUAUCUCCUCCUCAUAUACACUAUUAUUCAUACUUUGGAUAAAAUAUUGUUGGAAGGUAAUGUGCCAUCAAAAGUCAUUUAUUCACUUCUACAUUUCCCCCUUAGUACACUAACACACGUCUGUCUGAAGUCAAUCCAGCAGUGUAGCCAAUGAGGGGAGUAACAAUGCAGAUAGCUGCAGGCCUGUGAAAAUCUGACACUUGCUUUACAAGACCUGGAUUAGUGACUGUAUCUUCCAUGAAAAUCUGCAUGCCAUAGCAUAUUUUUAAAAGAGGAAUAGUUGAUCCAUUGCUUAAUAAUUGUGAAAGAAGGUUGCUGCUGCUGCUGCUGCUGUAGUAAAUAGCAUCAAGUACUUAAUCCUAGCAAUGACAUUUUUGUCUUUUGCUUAAAUAUGUAUUUGCAACAGAUGUUGUUCUUGCCAC